rnacentral:rRNA from 1 species
AGAGUUUGAUCAUGGCUCAGGACGAACGCUGGCGGCGCGCCUCAUACAUGCAAGUCGAGCGAGAACCAGGGCUUCGGCCCUGGGGACAGCGGCGAACGGGUGAGUAACACGUGAGCAACCUGCCCCGAAGACCGGGACAAGCCGGGGAAACCUGGUCUAAUACCGGAUGUCCUCUUCCGAUCGCAUGGUCGGAUGAGGAAAUGGAUUCCGCUUCGGGAUGGGCUCGCGGUCUAUCAGCUUGUUGGUGGGGUAACGGCCUACCAAGGCAACGACGGAUAGCUGGUCUGAGAGGACGAUCAGCCACACUGGGACUGAGACACGGCCCAGACUCCUACGGGAGGCAGCAGUAGGGAAUCUUGCGCAAUGGGGGAAACCCUGACGCAGCGACGCCGCGUGCGGGAUGAAGGUCUUCGGAUUGUAAACCGCUUUCAGCAGGGACGAAAUUGACGGUACCUGCAGAAGAAGGCCCGGCCAACUACGUGCCAGCAGCCGCGGUAAUACGUAGGGGCCUAGCGUUGUCCGGAUUUAUUGGGCGUAAAGAGCUCGUAGGCGGUUCGGCAAGUCGGAUGUGAAAUCUCCACGCUCAACGUGGAGGGGCCAUUCGAAACUGCCGUGACUCGAGUCCGGUAGGGGAGUGUGGAAUUCCCGGUGUAGCGGUGAAAUGCGCAGAUAUCGGGAGGAACACCAGUAGCGAAGGCGGCACUCUGGGCCGGUACUGACGCUGAGGAGCGAAAGCGUGGGGAGCGAACAGGAUUAGAUACCCUAGUAGUCC